rnacentral:rRNA from 1 species
AACUGUGACCUGCGGAAGGUCAUUAAAUUUCUUUGGCGUGCCACUGUCGGGAGGCGCUGUAAGCCCGUAUAGUAUAAUUAUACUGACUGCAAACCAAUUUCAAAGCGUAUUUGUUAUAGGGUUUCAGCGGUAAUAGCACUAAUUAUACUGCUUGAGCGGCUAGCCCUCUGUCUGAACCCUUGUCUUUUGUGCACUUGUUUCCUCGGCGGGUCUGCCCGUCUUUAGGACCCAACUAUAACCCUUUUUAUUUUUAAUCUGCGUCUGAAAACAAUAUAAUCAUUACAACUUUCAACAACGGAUCUCUUGGUUCUGGCAUCGAUGAAGAACGCAGCGAAAUGCGAUAAGUAGUGUGAAUUGCAGAAUUCAGUGAAUCAUCGAAUCUUUGAACGCACAUUGCGCCCCUUGGUAUUCCAUGGGGCAUGCCUGUUCGAGCGUCAUUUGUACCCUCAAGCUUUGCUUGGUGUUGGGUGUUUGUCCUCUCCUCUGUGUUUGGACUCGCCUUAAAAUAAUUGGCAGCCAGUGUUUUGGUAUAGAAGCGCAGCACAUUUUGCGAUUCUGGCUGAUAAUACUUGCGUCCAUAAGCCUUUUUAUUAACGCUUGACCUCGGAUCAGGUAGGGAUACCCGCUGAACUUAAGCAUAUCAAUAAGCGGAGGAAAAGAAACCAACAGGGAUUGCCCUAGUAACGGCGAGUGAAGCGGCAACAGCUCAAAUUUGAAAUCUGGCUCUUUUAGGGUCCGAGUUGUAAUUUGCAGAGGGCGCUUUGGCGUUGGUAGCGGUCCAAGUUCUUUGGAACAGGACGUCAUAGAGGGUGAGAAUCCCGUAUAUGGUCGCUAGCCUCCGCCGUGUAAAGCCCCUUCGACGAGUCGAGUUGUUUGGGAAUGCAGCCUCYWAAUGGGAGGUAAAUUUCUUCUAAAGCUAAAUACUGGCCAGAGACCGAUAGCGCACAAGUAGAGUGAUCGAAAGAUGAAAAGCACUUUGGAAAGAGAGUCAAAUAGCACGUGAAAUUGUUGAAAGGGAAGCGCUUGCAGCCAGACUUGCCUGUAGUUGCUUAUCUAGACUUUUGUCUAGUGCACUCUUCUGCGGGCAGGCCAGCAUCAGUUUAGGCGGUUGGAUAAAGAUCUCUAUCACGUACCUCCCUUCGGGGUAGGCCUUAUAGGGGAGAUGACAUACAGCCAGCCUGAACUGAGGUCCGCGCAUC